GACGAACGCUGGCGGCGUGCUUAACACAUGCAAGUCGAACGGAAAGGCCCAGCUUGCUGGGUGCUCGAGUGGCGAACGGGUGAGUAACACGUGGGUGAUCUGCCUCUAACUUCGGGAUAAGCUUGGGAAACUGGGUCUAAUACCGGAUAGGACAAUCGUUUAGUGUCGGUUGUGGAAAGUUUUUUCGGUUAGGGAUGAGCCCGCGGCCUAUCAGCUUGUUGGUGGGGUAAUGGCCUACCAAGGCGUCGACGGGUAGCCGGCCUGAGAGGGUGGACGGCCACAUUGGGACUGAGAUGCGGCCCAGACUCCUACGGGAGGCAGCAGUGGGGAAUAUUGCACAAUGGGCGCAAGCCUGAUGCAGCGACGCCGCGUGGGGGAUGACGGCCUUCGGGUUGUAAACCUCUUUCGACGGGGACGAAGCUUUGGUGACGGUACCUGUAUAAGAAGCACCGGCUAACUACGUG
rnacentral:rRNA from 1 species